AAUCAUCAAAGCAAAUGUCCAUUUUCCUUACGUAACUUAUCUUCCUUAUCCUAUCUCCAUCGCCCCAUUUCCUAUCCUCCCAGCCGAUCCCCUCUCCCUCACGGCGCCCUCUCCCAUGGCCGUCGGCCCUCCCCGCCAUGGACGUCGCUCUUCCUUCCUACAGUACGUCAGCGACCUCGUCUCCCUCCCUUCCCGUGGACGCCUGCUGCAGGAGUUGUUCCUCCCCUGCGCUCGCCUAAGAUGGCCGGACUCGCCCAUGAUGGCUUUCCCCUGUCGAUGCUGUUCUUUAGCCGCCAUGGCAGUGCCUCCCUGCAGCAGUCCGGUGACCGGGCCCUCCCCUUCCCACGUCAUGCUGGUGCCAUGUCUUCUCCCUCACCGGCCAACCUCGCCAGCCACCAGGAAGGUGUCUCCCUCUCGGCAGCUCCCAUGGCCACCAUCAGCCCUAGCUGCGCUUGCCCUGGUUCCAGCAGCUCGACGCCAGCCCCUCUCAAUCUUCCAUCGCUGCCGCUCAGCUUGUCCCAGAUAUAUUGUAUGUUCCUCUAUUUUAUUGUGGUAAUUGUGCUUACAUUAGGUGGUGUUGAAGCGAUGCAAAUGGUAGUUAGUGUUUUAAGAAAUUAACCAGUUAGUUUUGUCGAUGUGCUCGGAUGAAUAUAUGUGUGUGCAUAAUGUGUUUAAAUUGAUUCUUUGUUUGCAUAAUGUCAAAGUAGGUUCAAAAUACUAGAUUAUGUGAAGUAAAUGGAUUCAUGGCUAUAAAAUAGCAGAAAUCUAUAUAUGCGAUUAGAAAGUGUCAAACACAUGAUAAGUGUAGAAAGUAUAUAUGAGUAAAUUGAAUGUUGGCUGUUUGGACUUGCUAUUUGGACUGUGUCUAGUUUUAGUAUCCAGGUAGUUGAGUGAAGUAAACAUUGUUUUCUGUAGAAAUGUUAUAUAUAAAAGUUGUAGCUCACUUCUUUAUCUUGGUUGUGUAAAAAUUGCAUGACCAUAGGUUUAGUAGUUUAGGAGUUAUGAUUUUUCAAAGUCCAGUCUCAGAAUCUGCCCAGAUUCUGUACUGAUUUCGAAAAUAACCUUGUUUGCCCAAGUUAAACUUAGAAUCAGCUCUUAGUAAUUAUAGGAGAAUUGUAGUACUUUUCUUAAGCUUUGCAACAAAUUUUGGAGCACCAAUUUUGGUGGUCUAUAAGUCAGGUUAUGGCUGUUUGAAAUGUGAUGUUUGAAGCUGUCAAAAUCUGGACAACAAUGCUUGUUUGUAUUAACUGACUUCGAUACACAUUGAAUCACCUUGAGAUGAUUAUAAAUGAACUGUAGACAAUUCUAUUAGCUUUCUAAAAAGUCUAGGAUCACCUGAUUUGGACUUCUAAAACUCCAGUUAUGAAUUAAUGAAGUAAGUAGUCGAAUUCUGUCCAAAUCUGGACAGAAAUUGCGUUUAGUACUGUUUGACAUUUCUAAAUGUCGAAUCUCAUGGUGAUGAUAAUACCAAAAUUUUAGAGGACUUUAUAAGCUUUUCAAAAAGUCUUAGUUUACUAUUUUUGGAUGAAUAUUGUGUAAGUUAUGAAUAAAACAACUAGCUCUACAACUUUCAUUUAAUCAAGCGUGUUUCUGCUUUAUCUUGCUAUGCUCUGACCGAAGCUUUAGUUUUUGUGCGACUGGUAUUUCUGUGUUCUGCAGAUCAUUUAGCUCAAGUAAUUGGUAGUUCAAAUGUCAUAAUGUUUGGUUUGAGAUUUCUAUCCGUGGAUGGUUCGUCUGGCUUAUCUAUGCUUUUAGGUGCUUCAUCUGGCUUAUCUAUGUUUUUGCGCUCUCGCUUUUGCAUGUGUUGCAGGAUGUUGACAAUUGGAAAUCCAUGUAGCAAAUAAAUGAUUUUGGAACUAGGGACAGGUCAGAGUCUAGAGCAUGUUCAUUCCACGUAUGUUGGUUUUGUGACUUGUUUUCGGUGAUUUCAGAUCUGAAUGGCUGACAUUCUGUCUCCAUCGAUAUUUAAUAGUAAAGCAAGGUUUGUGACCUGGAUUUAUUGGGUGCUGUAGACAUUGGAGGUGGAUUUUCCUCAAUUGGAGAUAUUGACAAAUUGGAAAAAAUGUGACUUGACCUGUGCUGCAACAACCUUAAACUAGGAGGGGCUUCUAAUUCUUCAUCUCUACCAACAGUCCUCUCCUGUUACUUUUUAAACCAAUAACUUUUUCAAGUUUGUGCAGAUGCACACAUCCUUGAGCCAAAAUAGAAAAAAAAUCAUAGAAGAGUUCUUUGGUAAAUAUAAAUUGUGCACUCAUAAUUUUGCAAGUGCAUCUAUGGAUACCUUCACUUAUUCCUAACGGAUGUCUUUCAGGCUGUCACGUGAUUCAAGAGUAUUAAUGAUAUACAAAAGUUUGCUUUAUGGCAAGUCAAGUAACCACCAAUUUUGGGCAAUGACAGGGAUGUGCAGUGGUGGUCUCUUAAAAGAAUUUUGUGUUCCAGCGUAGCUAUUUCCACUGCAAACUAUCAAAUCAUUACAAACUGGCAUUCCAUGGCUUCCACUAGUUGAGUCCCCAUGAUAACCAAUCCUUGUUAUCAUAUACUUCUUCAAGUUUGACGUCAGCAACGUGGUCAUGGUGACCGGCGGGAGGAACACCGGGCGUGUAGGAGUGAUCAAGAACUGGGAGAAGCACAAGGGCAGCUUCGAGGUCAUCGACGUGCUGCUUGGAGGCUUUUGCAUGCUAUUUCUAGUUUUCUCUUAUUUGUUGUACAAGAAAACAUAGAAUGGAAUUCAAAUUUGGUGGUCGCAAAAGUGUGGAGACUUGAAUUCAUAUAAAGUUAGGCUUAACAUUAGUGCAAAAAGUUGUAUUUUAGUUUUGAUUUAGAGUACACUUAUGUAUGCCUUGUUUGACAAUACUUAUUUAUGAUAUAUUGAAUGGUACCUAUUGUAAUCGUCUAUUAUUGUAGGAUAUUCGAGACAGUUUGAUAAAUACUUUA